rnacentral:rRNA from 1 species
CCUACGGGUGGCUGCAGUGAGGAAUAUUGGUCAAUGGUCGGGAGACUGAACCAGCCAAGCCGCGUGAGGGAUGAAGGUACAGAGUAUCGUAAACCUCUUUUGUCAGGGAACAAAGGCGGGGACGUGUCCCCGGAUGAGUGUACCUGAAGAAAAAGCAUCGGCUAACUCCGGGCCAGCAGCAGCGGUAAUCAGGAGGAGGCGAGAGUUACCCGGUUUUAUGGGGUUAAAGGGGUGCGCAGGCGUUUUGUUAAGUCAGCGGUCAAAGCCCGGGGCUCAACCCCGGCCCGCCGUUGAAACUGGCAGUCUCGAGUUGGAGAGAAGUAUGCGGAAUGCGCGGUGUAGCGGUGAAAUGCAUAGAUAUCGCGCAGAACUCCGAUUGCGAAGGCAGCAUGCCGGCUCCACACUGACGCUGAGGCACGAAAGCGUGGGUAUCGAACAGGAUUAGAUACCCUAGUAGUC